AAAAGGCCCUACAGCGCCUUUCUCUAGCUCCUUCAGUCUGUGAUUCCGUCGUCAUGGCAGACCCGGUGCCCCCCAGUUUCCUGAGAGGGGUCGGGGCAGGGUCUGCCAGCCUCACGGGCUGCUGGUGAAAUACCACUACUCCCAUCAUUUUUUCACCGACUGGGUGAGUGGGGGAGGCGGCCCAAAGGGGCUCUUGCUUCUGGCGCCAAGCGCCCGUCAGCACGUGUGCACAGACUCGAAACGCUUUGAUGACAGUGCCAGGUGGGGAGUUUGACUGGGAUGGUACACCUGUGAAAAGGUAACGCAGUGUCCUAAGACAAGCUCAGUGAGGACAGACACCUCCCAUGGAGUGGAAGGGCAAAAGCUUGGUUGAUCUUGAUUUUCAGUACGAAUACAGACCAUAGAAGUGGGGCCUCAUCGUUCUUCUGACCUUUUGGGUUUUAAGCAGGAGGUGUCAGAAAAGUUACCACAGGGAUAACUGGCUUGUGGCUGCCAGAGACACCAAGCCACCACAGAAUUAGGAUGUAUAUUUUUGGAACUUGCCUUGGGAACUAGAUGGGUAGAGAGAUU
rnacentral:ncRNA from 1 species